rnacentral:rRNA from 1 species
UACGUAGGUGGCAAGCGUUGUCCGGAUUUACUGGGCGUAAAGAGCGCGCAGGCGGCUGGUCAAGUCCGAUGUGAAAGCUCCCGGCUUAACUGGGGAGGGUCACGCGAUACUGAUCGACUCGAAGGCAGGAGAGGGUAGUGGAAUUCCCGGUGUAGUGGUGAAAUGCGUAGAUAUCGGGAGGAACACCAGUGGCGAAGGCGACUACCUGGCCUGUUCUUGACGCUGAGGCGCGAAAGCUAGGGGAGCAAACGGG